GACGAACGCUGGCGGCGGGCUUAACACAUGCAAGUCGAACGGAAAGGCCCUGCUUUUGUGGGGUGCUCGAGUGGCGAACGGGUGAGUAACACGUGAGUAACCUGCCCUUGACUUUGGGAUAACUUCAGGAAACUGGGGCUAAUACCGGAUAGGAGCUCCUGCUGCAUGGUGGGGGUUGGAAAGUUUCGGCGGGUGGGGAUGGACUCGCGGCUUAUCAGCUUGUUGGUGGGGUAGUGGCUUACCAAGGCUGUGACGGGUAGCCGGCCUGGGAGGGUGACCGGGCUCCUGGGGACUGAGAGAGGGCCCAGACGCGUACGGGAGGCAGCAGGGGGGAACCUGGCACAGUGGGCCGGAGUCGGAUACGAACACGCCCGGGGCGGGAAGACGGCCUUUGGGUUGAAAACAGCUUCCGCUUGUGACGCCGCUUGAGUGACGGUAAUGGAUAAAGAAGCACCGGCUAACUUCGUG
rnacentral:rRNA from 1 species